UACGUAGGGGGCAAGCGUUGUCCGGAUUUAUUGGGCGUAAAGAGCGUGUAGGCGGCCUGACAAGUCUGCUGUGAAAACUCGAGGCUCAACCUCGAGAUGUCGGCGGAAACUGUCUGGCUAGAGUCCGGAAGAGGAGAGUGGAAUUCCUGGUGUAGCGGUGAAAUGCGCAGAUAUCAGGGGGAACACCGGUGGCGAAGGCGGAUCUCUGGGCCGAUACUGACGCUGAGGAGCGAAAGCGUGGGGAGCGAACAGG
rnacentral:rRNA from 1 species